UACGGAGGGUGCAAGCGUUAAUCGGAAUUACUGGGCGUAAAGCGCACGCAGGCGGUCUGUCAAGUCGGAUGUGAAAUCCCCGGGCUCAACCUGGGAACUGCAUUCGAAACUGGCAGGCUUGAGUCUCGUAGAGGGGGGUAGAAUUCCAGGUGUAGCGGUGAAAUGCGUAGAGAUCUGGAGGAAUACCGGUGGCGAAGGCGGCCCCCUGGACGAAGACUGACGCUCAGGUGCGAAAGCGUGGGGAGC
rnacentral:rRNA from 1 species